CGUCAAGUAGAAAAUUGUAAACAUUGCCUCCGCUUAGAAACUUCAAAUCCACGAAUCAUGAGACCAAAAACCAACACUCAAACUCGGAAAGCGUAGCAAGCGUACCCAGACGAGACGUCAGCAACACGAAUGUCCAACGUGGAUGCAAUCUUGGAUCAAAACCAAAGAUGAAAUAUUCAAUAAAGUGAAAUAUGAAUACAAAAACACACAUAAUGUUUACUCAUCACACAGUCCCAGUCGAAAUGCUGUUGCUAGGUGAACAUUAGGAGUACGGUGGGAUAGUGCGAGAAGAAGCGAGAGCAAGUUGUUACCUACUUAUAGACUUGGACUCGAACUGAAAGAAAUUUAAUCAGAUACCCCCUUUCCUUGUUUUAGAGGGAUUGCGAUCAAGUAGCUUGACUUGAGAUAAAACAGACAUUUAAAUAUAUAUUUAUUCAUGUGCAUAAUGUGUGUUUUAAUUUGUCCAGUACUUAAUGUAAUGGAAGUGCUGAAUAUUUACUUCAGUCAAAUAAAUGUUAAUGU